UAGCUAAAGCCCAAAGCCAGAGAAAAAUCGAGGCAGAGAACCUUCCAUCCCACACUAUAAAACAGCACCUUCACUCUCCAAUUUUCUCAUCACACUUAGCAAACUCAUUCAUAUCAAAUCUUCAUUUCUCUUCCAUUUCUCCAAAUUCCAAGAGGUAAUCAUGGGUGUGAUCACUUACGAUGUAGAGACCCCUUCCUCCAUCCCGGCCGGGAAGCUCUUCAAGGCCCUGGUGAUCGACUCCGACACCCUCAUCCCCAAGAUCCUGCCUCAGGCCAUCAAGAACGUCGAGAUCUUGGAAGGAGACGGCGGCGCCGGCACCGUCAAGAUCAUUCAUUUUGGCGAAGGGAGUCAGUAUAAGAGCGUCAAGCACCGUGUGGAGGCCAUCGACAAGGAGAACUUCACCUACACCUACACCAUCAAUGAAGGUGAUGUUCUCGCAGAUGUCAUUGAAUCCAUCACUUACCAUAUCAAGGUCGUCCCAACCGAAGAUGGAGGAAGCAUCUGCAAGAACAGGAGCAUUUACAACACCAAGGGUGAUGCUGUGAUUGAUGAGGAGAAGAUCAAGGAGGGGAAAGACAAGGCCCAACAUAUGUUCAAGGCCAAUGAGGCUUACAUCACCGCCAACCCCGACUACUGAAAGAGACGAGGCUUCAUAUAUCAAUGAUGUCAUUUUAUAUAUAUACGUGGUUUCUGAUAUGAGAUAAUUGGUGUGCGAGAGACUAUGUAUAGGCUUAAUUGCCUAGAGUGAUAUCGAUUUACUUUGUGUGAUUUUUGAAUUUGUGUUGAGUGAAUAUUAUUGUAUUGAAUUUGUGUUGCACUAAAUAAAGAAGCAUAGUUUUUUUUUUUUUUUUUUGAAUUAAUAAAGAAGCAUAGUUAAUUGCAAGUUUGGUGGUCGUGGGAUUAAUAUUUUUAUUGUUCUCUUGUGGUUGUUUUGUUUCUUUAUUUAGGGGUAACUAAUAUAUCCAUAUAUUUCAGAUUAGCAUAUGAACAUAAAUUUCACCUCAAAAUACAAGAACUUUCAUUUUUUAUUUUUUAUUUUUUUCUUUCUAACUUUGCACCUGAUAAAUAAUUUAACGUUGAAAACUGAGGAAGAUGUUGGAAUUAAUCUAUGUAUGCAUAGAGUUUUGAUAUAUAUUUUUAAUGAAUGAAUACUGAGGUAGAAGUCAGAAUUAUCUUUACAUGCAACGAAUUUUUUUUAUAAACAACAUAGUUAGACUAGUAAUGAAAUAUUGUCGUUUCAUCAUAAAAUAAGUCCUAUAUUUUUAGAUGAUCAUUUAAAGCAUUUUUUUUUUUGCAAUUUAAGACUAAGAGCAGUGGCGGAUCCAGGGGGGGCUAGGGGGGGCUUCAGCCCCCUCCCAAUUUUUGAGUUUUUUUUUUUAAAUUAUAGAUAUAUAUUUAUUAUUUUGUUUUAUAUCUAUAUAUAUGUGUAUAUAAAUAAAAAAAUACAAGAAAAAAUAUAGUAAUACAUUAUUUAUAGUAUCCAACUAUCCAUAUUAAUUGCUCAACACAUUGAGUUGUUACAUUUAUAGUAUUAUUUUUAUCAUUUUUUCUUUCUUAGUUAAUUUUUAAUGUUAAAUUUGAGUCAAUUCUAAAGGUAAAAGUAAAAUUACUAAUUACUAACAAUGAAAAUUAGUUUAUUUGUUUAGAAGAUGAAACAAUUUUUUUUUAAGAAAAAUGAAUAAAAGUACGUUUUUAUAUGCUUUCAAUCUACUUGAUGUUGAAUUAAUUGAAUUGCGAACAAUUAUCUUAUUAUAUUAAGUGAUUGUUGAAAAAAUGUAUGAAAUGAAGUGUACGGAAUGCUCAAAAAAAUUUGCUUCGGGGGCUCCCGCCCCCGAACCCCCGUGUAAAUAUUUUCAAGCACCGUAGUCCAAUAGAUUCAGCCCCCCCUAACAUUGAAUCCUGGAUCCGCCCCUGACUAAGAGGGUUGUGAGUUCACGAUCAAGGCCGUACUUCAUUAUUCGUGAUUCAUGAUUUUGAAUUCGUUGUUCGGGUCCAAUAUUUAGGUUCACAUAAUUAGGUCUUCGAGUUGUGUGUUUGUAAUUGAAUCCGUUGAAAAUAUUUUUAAUUUGUGUGCAAGAUUAGGGGGAAAAAAAUGAAAUUUUAUAUAUUUGGAAAUAUGAUUUAUAGCUCAUGUGCAAAAUAAAAAAAUAUAUAAAUUUUUUUAAGAUGCUAUUACCACUUUUAUUUAUUUUCGAGUUGAGUUCAAAAUCAUAAUUAAGGAAGACUGAUAAAAUCUAGAGGUCAAUCGUUUAGGUUGCUCACUGACAAUGAAAUGUGCAAAAUUAAUAUAAAAAUAGGCCAGUGAACCAUGUGGAUUGAAUCGGAGUCUUUUUUAGGUUCAUUUAUAUAGUUGGACAUAAAAGGGGAUAGAGGUUUAAUUCACUCAGUAUAAAAGUUGACGGUGAAUUUUAGACCAAUUAAUGAGAAACAAAUUUUUUAGAAAAUCAAGAAUUUAUGAAUAACUUUUAAUAAAAUAUCAUAUAUAUUUAUUUUCUUUAUCCAGUACUUGAUUUUUAUCCUGUGAUUAUUUAUUAGAUUGCUGAUCCAGUGACUUGAUUUUUAUUGUAUUGGAAAUUGAAUUAUAUAUUCUAGGGUAAAUUUAAUCUAAAACUAUAAUAAAUUUUUGUAAUAUUUUAUUUUUUUUCCAUAAUCUUUUAUUCUUGUUUCAUAAUCUAUUUGAAAUCUCUUGAUUUGAGUUUAGUCUGUAUCUCUGGGCCAAAACGUCAAAUUUGUAUAUGGCCCAAAGGCUUUUAAUGGGCUACAUAGUCAAAUGGGCCGAAUUUUUAGGUCGAGAGUCCAUUGGGUCAAAAUUGCAACUACAGAACGGAAUAUUCUAUUUAAGGAGAUUGGAGUACUUGGACGACGCUGGGGUCAAAAAUUAUUAAUGCGAAUUUUUUUCUAAAUAUUAGACUUUUAAUAAUACAGAGACGACUCUUUACAGAAAUGAAUAUUUUUUAAACAAAAUACUACUUAUAAUAUAUAGUUUAUCCUCGUAUCUUAAGUGACUUUAUUUGUAGGUAUUAUUGUUCGUUUUUUAGUUAAAUGCUUAUUAUGAUGUUUGUAAUUGCAAAAAAUUAAAAGGCAUUCGUAUGAAAAUUGUAUAUUCAGAAAAGAUGGGUUAUUAUUGUGUGAUCACAAUUCACAAGCUUGAGCAGACUUAUUCAAGGAGAUUUGCUGCUCAAAUUUGUGUUCACAUUUAUUGCCAAAUACAAUCAAGAGAAAGUGUAGACUAGUCUACCAUGGAGUGCUACGUACAACCAAUUUUGGUCUUAAAAUAAAUGCAAGUGUGAAUUUUUCUUCUUAUUCUGUUUCUAUAUAUAUAAUUGAAAUAGCUCUCAAUUGACCCUACAAGAAUGCUUCAACUUGUGAUGUCAAAGCAAUUAUAGUAAAGACUGUGAAGUAAUAUAAAAAUACGAUUAACUUACAUCAUUCGGGAAAUUUUCUAUGCAUUUUCUUGACAUGUUUCACAUGCAUGCCACAAGGUGAAGCAAAAAACAUAUGACUUCUUAUUCAUUUUAAUUUAAUACUAAGUUAAAGUUAACUUAAAUCAAUAUCAUGAUUUGGCAUUGACGAACUCAUGCAGCUUAUAAAAUAUCAAGCAUAAUGAUUAGAUAAAAAUCGUCAUACUCGAGUGGUAAAAAAGAAAGAUACAGAUCCUUUUGGGACGGCUAAUGGUAAAGUGAAUAUAAACGUGGUUUAAGUCUGUUAUAUAGACCUAUUUUUUUAAAAUGAGAUUUGCAGAUUUCACAGAAACAUAGAUUUAUCAAAUAAUACGACUUGUCACACAUAGUUUUUGAUGUAUGAUUUGUCUGUAUCGAAUCUUAAUAUCAUAAUGAAUAGUUUUUUUUUUCACAUUUUUUCACUAUUUUCAAUACUAAUUACAAUACAUUUUCACCACUUUCAAUACUAAUUACUCCCUCCGUCCCGGUCAAAGUGGUGCACUUCUUUUGGGCACGGGAUUUAAAGAGAAUAAGAUUGUAGUGUAAAAGUGUGUAAAUGUGUGUGGGGCCAUAUUUUUUGUAGUGUAAAAUUAUUACCAAAAAAGGAAAUGCACCACUUUCGGUGGGACAGCCCAAAAAAGAAUACGCACUACUUUCGGUGGGAUGGAGGAAGUAUAAUAUUUUUCACUAUUUACAAUAUACUCAACAAUUUUGUAUUAAAAUUCGUACCCCUUAGGAAGUUAUUUGGGGGUCGGUAGAGGAUAAUGCCAUGUUCUAUGACACCCCAAAAUAUCAUCGAUUAUUAAAUCAAUCCAUAAAUGCACCAUGAAUAAUUAUGUCUACAUUCAACGAGAUGGGGCUAGCUAAAGCCCAAAGCCAGAGAAAAAUCGAGGCAGAGAACCUUCCAUCCCACACUAUAAAAUAGCACCUUCACACUCUCCAAUUUUCCCAUCACACUUAGCUAAUCUCAUUCAUAUCAAAUCUUCACUUCUCUUCCAUUUCUUCAAAUUAAAAAAAAAAGGGAAUCAUGGGUGCGAUCACUUAUGAUGUAGAGACCCCUUCCUCCAUCCCGGCCGGGAAGCUCUUCAAGGCCCUGGUGAUCGACUCCGACACCCUCCUCCCCAAGAUCCUGCCUCAGGCCAUCAAGAACGUCGAGAUCUUGGAAGGAGACGGCGGCGCCGGCACCGUCAAGAUCAUUCAUUUUGGCGAAGGGAGUCAGUAUAAGAGCGUCAAGCAUCGUGUCGAGGCCAUCGACAAGGACAACUUCACCUACACGUACAGCAUCCUUGAAGGUGAUGUUCUCUCAGAUGCCAUUGAAUCCAUCACUUACCAUAUCAAGGUCGUCCCAACCGAAGAUGGAGGAAGCAUCUGCAAGAACAGGAGCAUUUACAACACCAAGGGUGAUGCUGUGAUUGAUGAGGAGAAGAUCAAGGAGGGGAAAGACAAGGCCCAACAUAUGUUCAAGGCCAUUGAAGCUUACAUCACCGCCAACCCCGACUACUGAACGAGACGAGGCUUCGUAUAUCAAUGAUGUCAUUCUAUAUACGUGGUAUCUCUGAUGCGAGAGGAUCGGUGUGCGAGAGACUAUCUAUAGGCUUAAUUGCCUAGAGUGAUAUUGAUUUACUUUGUGUGGUUUUUGUAUUUGUGUUGAGUGAAUAUUACUGUAUUGAAUUUGUGUUGCACUAAAUAAAGAAGCAUAAUUAAUGUUGCAAGUUUGGUGGUAGUGGGAACAUUUUUAUUUUUCUCGUGGUUGUCUUGUUAUUUUAUUUAAGUGUAAUUAAUAACCGUAUAUUUCGGAUUACGCAUAUGAGUAUAAAUUAAAUUUCGUCUCAAAAUACAAUAACUUUUUUUUUUCUCUAGCUUUGCACCUGAUCAUAAAUAUUUUUGACGAAUAAAUAUUGAUAUAGAAGCCAAAGUUAUCUUUAUGUGCAACGAAAAUCUUCAUAAGCAAUAUAAUUUGAUUAGUAAUAAAAUAUUGUCGUUUCAUCAUAAAAUAAGUCUCAUAUUUUUAGAUGAUCAUUUAAGGCAUUAUUUUUCACAAUUUAAAAUUAAAGGGCUGCGAGUUCACGAUUGAUUCAUGAUUUUGGUUCAUAUAUUUAGGGCUUCGAGUCGUGGAUUCGUGAUUGAGUUGUGAAUGUUUGAAAAUAUCUUUAAUAUGCUUUGGAAAAAAAAAUUAUAUAUUUGGAGACAUGACUUAUGGCUCAUGUGCGAAAUAGAUAAAUGUUAUAAAAUUUUGUAUUUUAGAUACUAUAACCACUUUUAUUUAUUUUCGAGUUUGAGUUCAAAAUAUUACUCCCUCCGUCCCAAUAAAAGUGGCCACAUUUCCUUUUUGGGUGUCCCAUUAAAAGUGGCUACUUUCUAAAAAUGGCAAAAGUUUACUUUAAUUAAGUCAACAAUUACUCACUAAUUUGGUCAACAAUUGUAGGCCAUUUUCUAAAAAUGUCAAAAUUACUUACUAAUUUGGUCAACAAUUGUAGGCCACUUUCUAAAAAUUACUCACUAAUUUUGGUGGGUCACACUCAAUUAAAACAUAACAAUUCCCUUCUUAAUCUCCGUACCUAAAAAAAAGUGGUCAUUUUUAUUGGGACGGAGGGAGUAAUAAUUAAGGAAGACUAAUGAAUCUAGAGGUCAAUAUAUCGUUUAGGUUGCUCACUGACAAUGAAAUGAGUAAAAUUAAUAUAAAAAUAGGCACCAUGUGGAUUAAAUCGGAGUCUUUUUCAGGUUUAUUUAUUUNUUAGGUUAUUUAGUUUAGUUGGACAUAAAAGGGGUUGGGAGGUUUAAUUCACUCAUUAUAAAAAUUGACGGUGAAUUUUGGACCAAUUAAAGAGAAACAAUCUUUAGUUAUAUCAACUCUUAUUAUAUUUACGGAGACUAUUUAUAGAAAAUUCAAGAAUUUAUGAAUAACUUUUAAUAAAUUAAAUAUCCUUUAUACAUUUAUUUUCUUUAUCCAGUGACUAUUUAUUGGAUUGCUUAUCCAGUGACUUGAUUUUUAUUGUAUUGGAUAUUGAAUUAUUAUAGGGGUAAUUUUGACAUCUCGCCGGGGAUUUUUUAGACAAAACUUUAAAAUAAAAAAGUGCAAAUAAAAGUUACUAAUGCGAAAAAUAUUCUAAAUAUUAGACUUUUAAUAAUAUAGAGACUCUUUAACUCUUUACAGAAAUUAAUAUUUUUUAAACAAAAGAUACUAAUAAUAGAUUGUUUAUCCCCGUAUCUUAUAAAGUGACUAGAUUUGUACGUAGGUAUUAUUGUUCGUUUUUGAGUCAAAUGCUUAUUAUGCUGGUUUUAAAAGGCAGUACUGUAAUUACCAUGCAUAUUUUAAUAUUCGUAAGAAAAUUGUUAAGAAAGAUGGGUUAUUGUGUGAUCACAAGCUUGAGCAGACUUAUUCAAGGAUAUUUGCUGCUCAAAAUUUGUGUUCGCAUUGUCUUGCCAAAUACAUACAAGAGAAAGUGUAGACUAGUCUACCAUGGAGUGCUACAACCAAUAUUUGGUCUCAAAAUAAAUGCAAGUGUGAAUUUUUCUUCUUAUUCAGUUUCGAUAAUUGAAAUACCUCUCAAUUGACCCUACAAGAAUGCUUCAACUUGUGAUGUCAAAUCAAUUAUAGGUAAUAAAGACCGUGAAGUAAUAUCAAUAUAUGAUUAACUUACAUAGUUACAUAAAUCUAACAGAAAAAAAAACAAGAAGAAAAGUCCACAACGAGGCACUAACUAAUUUUGUAAAUGAUACUCUCUUCGUCCUCUAAAUAACUUCAUAUCUGUCCCCAAGGGGACACCAAGCGGUGCGAAUAGUGAAUAAAAAAUAAAAUAAAAAAUAAUUAUGUGAAUAGUGAGGUCUCGGGUUCAAACUCCACUGCCCCCCUCCCCAACACCCCCAUGUAAAAAAAUAAAAAAUAAUAAUAACUUCAUAUCUUUUUUUUAGGUUGUCUCCCAAAUAAUUUACUAGUACUUUAUUUUAGGACACUAUCCCAACUUUUCAUAAUACUUCAUUUAUUCUUUUUUUUUUCACCACUCUCAAUACUAAUUACAACACCUUUUCAUCUUUUAUUAUUAUUAUUAUUAUUAUUAUUAUUAUUAUUAUUAUUAUUAUUAUUAUUAUUAUUAUUAUUAUUAUUAUUAUGCACUCAAUAAUUUUAUCUUAAAAUCAAUGGGCCCCCUCAAAAGAUUAUUUGGAGGAUGGAGGGAGCAUAAUGCCAUGUUAUAUGACACCACAAAUAUCAUCAAUUAUUAAAUUCAAACCAUAAUUAAUGCAUCACGAAUAAUUGAGUUGCCAUUCAACGAAAUGGGGCUAAAGCCCAAAGCCAAAGAAAAGUCGAGGUAGAGAACCUUCCAUCCCACACUAUAAAAUAGCACCUCACACUCUCCAAUUUUCCCAUCACACUUAGCUAAUCUCAUUCAUAUAUAUCAAUCACUAAUCAAUCUUCACUUCUCCUCCAUUACUCCAAUUUUUUAAAAAAGAGAAUCAUGGGUGCGAUCACUUAUGAUGUAGAGACCCCUUCCUCCAUCCCGGCCGGGAAGCUCUUCAAGGCCAUCGUGCUCGAGCCGACACCCUCAUCCCCAAGAUCUUGCCUCAGGCCAUCAAGAACGUCGAGAUCUUGGAAGGAGACGGCGGCGCGGCACCGUAAGAUCGUUCAUUUUGGCGAAGGGAGUCAGUAUAAGAGCGUCAAGCACCGUGUCGAGGCCAUCGACAAGGAAACUUGACAUACACGUACACCAUCAUUGAAGGUGAUGCUCUCUCAGAUUUAUUGAAUCCGUCACUUAUCAUAUCAAGAUCGUCCCAACAGAAGAUGGAGGAAGCAUCUGCAAGAACAGGAGCAUUUACAACAC
rnacentral:lncRNA from 1 species